rnacentral:snoRNA from 1 species
CCAACGUGGAUAUCCGGAGAAGUCGCUCUCUCUUGGCUCUGUCCGUGUGGCGCAUGGGAGCGUAGGCCUCCGGGCCCAUGACGUAUAGUCCCGUUCCACGACGUUGGAGAUCAAGCCGGGCCUCGUGUCUGCAGCCUGCAUAUUCCUACUGCUUCUCCGAGCCCUUGGGCAGUGUCGGAGGAGAUAAACCAUGCAGGAAACAGUU